rnacentral:rRNA from 1 species
UUGGAGGGCAAGUCUGGUGCCAGCAGCCGCGGUAAUUCCAGCUCCAAUAGCGUAUAUUAAAGUUGUUGCAGUUAAAAAGCUCGUAGUUGAAUUUCGGGGUUCUACCGUUGGUCGGGCUUUGUCUGUACUGGUGUGUAGAAUUUCUACCUUCUGGGGGACCAUCAUGCUAUUAAUUUAGCGUGGUGGGGAACCAGGACCUUUACCUUGAAAAAAUUAGUGUGUUCAAAGCGGGCUUAUGUCUGAAUACAUUAGCGUGGAAUAAUAGAAUAGGACGGUGGUCCUGUUUUGUUGGUUUCUGAAUCACCGUAAUGAUUAAUAGGGAUAGUUGGGGGCAUUAGUAUUCAAUUGUCAGAGGUGAAAUUCUUGGAUUUAUUGAAGACUAACUUCUGCGAAAGCAUUUGCCAAGGAUGUUUUCAUUAAUCAAGAACGAAAGUUAGGGGAUCGAAGACGAUCAGAUACCGUCGUAGUCUUAACCAUAAACUAUGCCGACUAGGGAUCGGACGAUGUUAAUUUUUCUUGACUCGUUCGGCGCCUUACGGGAAA